GAUGAACGCUGGCGGCGUGCCUAAUACAUGCAAGUCGAGCGAAUGGAUUAAGAGCUUGCUCUUAUGAAGUUAGCGGCGGACGGGUGAGUAACACGUGGGUAACCUGCCCAUAAGACUGGGAUAACUCCGGGAAACCGGGGCUAAUACCGGAUAACAUUUUGAACCGCAUGGUUCGAAAUUGAAAGGCGGCUUCGGCUGUCACUUAUGGAUGGACCCGCGUCGCAUUAGCUAGUUGGUGAGGUAACGGCUCACCAAGGCAACGAUGCGUAGCCGACCUGGGAGGGUGCUCGGCCACACGGGGACUGGGACACGGCCCAGACUCCUACGGGAGGCUGCAGUAGGAAAUCUUCCGCAAUGGACGAAAGUCUGACGGAGCAACGCCGCGUGAGUGAUGAAGGCUUUCGGGUCGUAAAACUCUGUUGUUAGGGAAGAACAAGUGCUAGUUGAAUAAGCUGGCACCUUGACGGUACCUAACCAGAAAGCCACGGCUAACUACGUGCCAGCAGCCGCCGUAA
rnacentral:rRNA from 1 species